rnacentral:RNase_P_RNA from 1 species
AAGAGAGGAAGGGCGGUCGCCGGGUCUUAAUAGAUCUGAGGAAAGUCUCCCCACCGCGAAAAAAUUAAUUUUUUUCUUUAAAAUACACGAACGCUUGUAAAGAGUGUCCGGCGAGAGUCGGGGCAGUUGAAUUUCAACUCAUGUAUAUUAUAUUGCAUGCUGACACAGAAACGAUAUCAUUUUUUAUACAUUUCAACCCAUUAAAAUAAUAUUUGGGGCGAAUAUACGAUGAUGCUUAACAGCUGAUGUUUAAGUAUAAUUGAUGAAUGGAACGGUGAAACCUCGUGGGUGCAAGUCGAAUAAUAGAAAUUUCUAUUGACGCAUAGCCGAAUGCCGUCGUUACAAGACUUUUUAUAGUCUAUUCAUUAUAAGAUUUAUCAAAAUAUAAAUCGAAAUAAGGAUGAAAUGUAAUAACAUAAGGGAGCUUACUCUCCUGACUC